GACGAACGCCGGCGGCGUGCCUAAUACAUGCAAGUCGAGCGGAAGUUGGAGAGCUUGCUCUUCAACUUUAGCGGCGGACGGGUGAGUAACACGUUGGCAACCUGCCCUGCAGAUCGGGAUAACUCCGGGAAACCGGUGCUAAUACCGAAUAGUUUUCGCCACCUCCUGGUGGCGUACGGAAAGACGGUUUCGGCUGUCACUGCAGGAUGGGCCCGCGGCGCAUUAGCGAGUUGGUGGGGUAACGGCCCACCAAGGCGACGAUGCGUAGCCGACCUGAGAGGGUGAUCGGCCACACUGGGACUGAGACACGGCCCAGACUCCUACGGGAGGCAGCAGUAGGGAAUCUUCCGCAAUGGACGAAAGUCUGACGGAGCAACGCCGCGUGAGUGACGAAGGUUUUCGGAUCGUAAAACUCUGUUGUGAGGGAAGAACAAGUACCACUUAACUACUGGUACCUUGACGGUACCUCACCAGAAAGCCACGGCUAACUACGUGCCAGCCGCCGCCGUAAAAC
rnacentral:rRNA from 1 species